AAACCGAUGGCACAGUGGGUAGCACUUCAGCUGACUAUGCGGAGGUUCCGGGUUCAAUUCUCUGUUGGCUUG
rnacentral:tRNA from 1 species